ACGGUCAGACCAUGCUGAAAGCACUGGUUCUCGACUGAUCACCGCAAUUAGGCAGCAGCGGGCGCGGUCAGUACUUGGGAGGGUGACCACCUGGGAACAACGCAUGCUGUU
rnacentral:rRNA from 13 species